CUUCUUCUCUCUUUCGGCCGAACACCCACAUCCAUCCAUUAAUUUUCAAAAUUCAAAGAUCCCUUGAAGAUAAAAGCUCAUUACAAGAAGUUUCUUAGUUUUUUGAAGAACCAAGAAGGUUUCCAAGGCGAUUCUAAGAGGAAACAAGCUCCAUAACAUCAAAUCUUAUCAAAACCCACCAAUAAUCUUGUAGGUAUAAAAUUUAUGUUUAAAUCAUACUCUCGAUUCUUGGAAGAGGACUCGACCCGUUAGAGAGAACGCACCGAUUUCGAAAGCUGAGACAGCAUCCGCUUUGAAGAAGCAGGAAGGGAUUUGGGGACAAUCGCUCUCACUGUGAUCGUCAGUUCGCCACGUUACGCGUAGGUAUGGAGACGAUGAAGGACUUAGAGAGACAGAUGGACUGUUAUGAUGAGCUAGAAGAGCUUGUUAGGAAGAUGUUGGACUUCCAGGGAUUGAAGCGUUAGUUGUUGGUUGUUUCUGUUGUUUGUUUUGUAUUGUCUCAUUUUAUGAACCCUAUUUAUGGCUUGCAUGUCAAAUUUUCAGCU
rnacentral:lncRNA from 1 species